GCGCCCGUAGCUCAGUUGGUAGAGCAACGGCCUUUUAAGCCGAUGGUCGAAGGUUCGAGUCCUUCCGGGCGCA
rnacentral:tRNA from 1 species